rnacentral:rRNA from 1 species
GGGGAAUAUUGGACAAUGGGCGAAAGCCUGAUCCAGCCAUGCCGCGUGUGUGAAGAAGGUCUUCGGAUUGUAAAGCACUUUAAGUUGGGAGGAAGGGUUUCUGGCUAAUAUCCAGGAAUUUUGACGUUACCGACAGAAUAAGCACCGGCUAACUUCGUGCCAGCAGCCGCGGUAAUACGAAGGGUGCAAGCGUUAAUCGGAAUUACUGGGCGUAAAGCGCGCGUAGGUGGUUCGUUAAGUUGGAUGUGAAAGCCCCGGGCUCAACCUGGGAAAUGCAUCCAAAACUGGGGGGGUUGGGUAAGGGAGAGGGUUGUGGAAUUUCCUGUGGAGCCGUGAAAUGGGUAGAUAUAAGAAGGAACAACAGUGGCGGAAGCGACCACCUGGGCUAAUACUGGCACUGGGGUGCGAAAGCCUUGGGAGCAAACA